GAUUAACGCUGGCGGCGUGCCUAACACAUGCAAGUCGAGCGGCAGCGAGUUUUACACUGAAUUCUGGAAGCUUCUGGUUUAAAGAGAAGAUUUAUUCAAGAGUUUUGUGUAAAAUGUCGGCGAGCGGCGGACGGCUGAGUAACGCGUGGGAACGUACCCCAAAGUGAGGGAUAACGCAUCGAAAGGUGUGCUAAUACCGCAUAUGGUCUUUGGAUUAAAGCCUUCGGGCGCUUUGGGAACGGCCUGCGUAAGAUUAGAUAGUUGGUGGGGUAAUGGCCUACCAAGUCAACGAUCUUUAACUGGUUUGAGAGGAUGAUCAGUCAGACUGGAACUGAGACACGGUCCAGACUCCUACGGGAGGCAGCAGUGAGGAAUCUUCCACAAUGGGCGAAAGCCUGAUGGAGCAACGCCGCGUGCAGGAUGAAGGCCUUCGGGUUGUAAACUGCUUUUAUAAGUGAGGAAUAUGACAGUAACUUAUGAAUAAGGAUCGGCUAACUACGUGCCAGCAGCCGCGGUCAUACGUAGGAUCCGAGCGUUAUCCGGAGUGACUGGGCGUAAAGAGUUGCGUAGGUGGUUAAUAAGCGAAUAGUGAAAUCUGGUGGCUCAACCAUUCAGACUAUUAUUCGAACUGUUAAACUCGAGAGCAGAAGAGGUAGCUGGAAUUUCUAGUGUAGGAGUGAAAUCCGUAGAUAUUAGAAGGAACACCGAUGGCGUAGGCAGGCUACUGGGCUGUUUCUGACACUGAGGCACGAAAGCGUGGGGAGCGAACCGGAUUAGAUACCCGGGUAGUCCACGCCGUAAACGAUGGAUACUAGCUGUUUGGGGUAUCGACCCCCUGAGUAGCGAAGCUAACGCGUUAAGUAUCCCGCCUGUGGAGUACGAUCGCAAGAUUAAAACAUAAAGGAAUUGACGGGGACCCGCACAAGCGGUGGAUCAUGUUCUUUAAUUCGAUGAUAACCGAUAAACCUUACCAGGUCUUGACAUCCUUGGAAUCUUUCAGAAAUGAGAGAGUGCUUUUUAAGAGCCAAGUGACAGGUGAUGCAUGGCCGUCGUCAGCUCGUGUCGUGAGAUGUUUGGUUAAGUCCAUCAACGAGCGCAACCCUUGUCAGUAGUUGUAUUUUUCUACUGAGACUGCCCCGGCAACGGGGAGGAAGGAGGGGAUGACGUCAGGUCAGUAUUUCCCUUACGUCCUGGGCUAGAAACGUGAUACAAUGGCUAGUACAAUGCGCAGCGAAGCCGCGAGGAGAAGCAAAUCGCAUCAAAGCUAGUCCCAGUUCGGAUUGUAGGCUGAAACUCGCCUGCAUGAAGUCGGAAUCGCUAGUAAUCGCAGAUCAGCAUGCUGCGGUGAAUACGUUCCCGGGUCU
rnacentral:rRNA from 1 species